rnacentral:rRNA from 1 species
GAUGAACGCUGGCGGCGUGCCUAAUACAUGCAAGUAGAACGCUGAAGGAAGGAGCUUGCUCUUUCCGGAUGAGUUGCGAACGGGUGAGUAACGCGUAGGUAACCUGCCUGGUAGCGGGGGAUAACUAUUGGAAACGAUAGCUAAUACCGCAUAACAGUAGAUGUUGCAUGAUAUCUACUUAAAAGGUGCAAUUGCACCACUACCAGAUGGACCUGCGUUGUAUUAGCUAGUUGGUGAGGUAACGGCUCACCAAGGCGACGAUACAUAGCCGACCUGAGAGGGUGAUCGGCCACACUGGGACUGAGACACGGCCCAGACUCCUACGGGAGGCAGCAGUAGGGAAUCGUCGGCAAUGGACGGAAGUCUGACCGAGCAACGCCGCGGGAGUGAAGAAGGUUUUCGGAUCGUAAAGCUCUGUUGUAAGAGAAGAACGAGUGUGAGAGUGGAAAGUUCACACUGUGACGGUAUCUUACCAGAAAGGGACGGCUAACUACGUG